UGAUAGCGAUGAAGCGCGAGGUUGCUGCUUUACAAUAGCAGGUUUUCCGUGGAGCGAAUGUCAAGUUAGGAAACUGGCGACAA
rfam:Eubacterium plexicaudatum ASF492 genomic scaffold acLZb-supercont1.2, whole genome shotgun sequence.